UCCAAUCUACCGAAUUUUGUCAGGUCACAGCUGACAACUGACAGAUGACGUAUCAUGUGUCCAUAGAUUGAACACAAUUUAAACGCGUACCGAAAAAUAUUUGCAUAGUUUCUACGUACAGAAUUGCUGGAGUAAAAGGAAGACCAAACGAUUGAAUUCCCGGUGACAAAAAGGCGAGAUUACAAAAACAGCUUACUAGCUGUUAUACAGGAUAGGAGAAACGAAGUAUGUUGUCAAAAUUUGUCGUUCAAAGUCGUUGGCGUGGCGUAAUGGUAAAUUUUAG